rnacentral:piRNA from 1 species
UGGAUACCAUGGAUCUGUGUGACUAC